rnacentral:tRNA from 1 species
GUUUCUGUAGCCCAAGUGGUAAAGCACUGGACUCGUAAACAAGAGGUCGUGAGUUCAAUCCUCACAAGAGGCA